rnacentral:rRNA from 1 species
GACGAACCGUGCGAACGUUGUUCGGAAUCACUGGGCUUAAAGGGCGCGUAGGCGGGCUGCCAAGUCCGGGGUGAAACCCGCCGGCUCAACCGGCGGACGGCCCCGGGUACUGGCGGCCUCGAGGCGGGUAGGGGCGGGCGGAACACUGGGUGGAGCGGUGAAAUGCGUUGAUAUCCAGUGGAACUCCGGUGGCGAAGGCGGCCCGCUGGACCCGAUCUGACGCUGAGGCGCGAAAGCCAGGGGAGCGAACGGG